UACAACCCUCAAAAAAAAACGAAAGUAAUUUCUGCGCAGUACUCGACAGAGAGGGACUCGUCUCUAAAUGUUUUUCUUAUUGUUUGUCACUCGGAAACUCGGUUUGCCGUUGAUCAGCAGAUGCCUCUUCUGCACGUUAGUGCAGGUGAAGUUACAAACUGUUAAUAUUAAUUAUUGUAAGGCGUGUCUCCGUGCUGACCUUGAACAUUCAGGCGAAGUUUGAUUAGCGUUUUCCUCAUUCUCAGUGCGUUAAUAUGCACUACCUGACAGACAGGCUGGGUGAGUUUGAGAUCCUUCAACAUUAAUGCGUCUGCAAACGGAUAAAACAACAGGAUCAUGGCUGGGAUCAAGUGCGCAGUGUUUCUGGUGCUCCUGACAUUUACGUGGACUUUAACCAGAGGAGAUACCGACGUGUCCUGCAUUUUCAUGGAGACCUGCAUGCUGCCAUGCAGCUCUGAGGGAGGCACUGCAGUCAUCAUCCACUGGUUCCAGCAAUCAGCAGGAAACCGUUUUGUUCAUUCAUUCUAUGAAGGCAAAGACCAGCUUGGACUGCAGAACCAGCGCUUCAGAGGCAGGACGUCACUGUUCAGCGACCAGAUCUCCUCAGGAAAUGCCUCACUCCUGCUGACAAAGGUGGAGGUUCAGGAUGAAGGGAGAUACAAGUGCUACACCAGCACUGAAAAUGGAAUCAAAGAAUCAUUUAUCAAUUUAAAAAUGGAUGCUCCAGUCCAUGAAGUCGACAUUCAGCGGGAAGGAAACACACUCACCUGUUGUUCAGAGGGGAUCUACCCUGAGCCUGAGCUCACCUGGUCCACCAGUCCUCCCUCCAAUGUGAACAGCAAGUGCAACACCAGGAUGCAGGAGACUGAGCAACACCUCUACAACAUCAGUAGCUCUGUGACACCUUCAGACAGUGAAACUGAUCUGACCUUCAGCUGCACCAUCAGCACUCGCCGUAGCAAGAGGAGUGUAACUUGGCCCUCCACCUCAUCUAAACAAAGUAAUUCAGGAGCUACUGUAGCAGGAGUGAUUACAGGCAUUGUGAUUACAGGGGCAGUAGCAGCAGUAGGCUUCAUGCUGUAUAAGCGCAGAAAGAGCAACACCAACAAAACACAUACUGACACUGAACUUAAGGUGGAGCUGAAUAGAAGCUCUGCCACGAAACAUCUGACAUCCCCCAAGCAGACCCCAGCAGCUCUGCUUCAGCCCUGCACUGAACCCUCCUGAGUGUUGGAUCUCUGCUCAGUAAAGCAAAAACUUUCAUAAGUGAAAAACCUGCUGAAAACGACAUUCAAAUGAGUUACUUAGUUACUCAUACGUGCACUGAGGAGCAAGGACACUUUUUUUUAAAAUUCUGUUUUCAUCUAUGCUGAUUCUUGGUCAUAACCUAAAUAUUUUGAUAUGCCUCCUUCUGGACCUUUGAUUUUUGGUUGUGCAGCACAAAGAAGAAUGUUGCAAAAAAGAAGAGAUGAGUCUCAGUCACAGAGGCAGCUUUGAUUUGUUUGUCAAAAACUGCUGAUAAACUUGAGUUUAGCUACUAGCUGGUAGCUUUUCAACAUGUGUUCUUCUACUGUGGAACGAAAAAAUGAUAUUAAGCACUGCAGACAGUUUUAGAUGAUGUGAGACAUACUUUUUUUUUUUCUUGUUAUUUGUGUUUACAUAUGAUUGAUUUGUUUUAUGCAGUUUAACAUAAAUGUAAAUGUCUGAAACUGACAUCCUGCACAGUGUUUACAGCUACUAACUAUUUUCAGUCCUUAAUGGGCUGAGAUGAGGGUCAGUUUAAUUUAAGUGCAGCAGCAGUCAU